rnacentral:rRNA from 1 species
UACGGAGGGUGCAAGCGUUAUCCGGAUUCACUGGGUUUAAAGGGUGCGUAGGUGGCCCCUCAAGCGUGCGGUGAAAGUCAGGGGCUCAACCCCUGAUCGGCCGUGCGAACUGGGGAGCUUGAGCACUGUAGAGGCAGGCGGAAUUCCGGGUGUAGCGGUGGAAUGCGUAGAGAUCCGGAAGAACACCGGUGGCGAAGGCGGCCUGCUGGGCAGUUUUGCUGACACUGAGGCGCGACAGCGUGGGGAGCAAACAGG